CAGUCGCCGCGGUAAUACAGAGGGUGCAAGCGUUAAUCGGAUUUACUGGGCGUAAAGGGCGCGUAGGUGGUUAUGUAAGUGAGAUGUGAAAUCCCCGGGCUCAACCUGGGAACUGCAUCUUAUACUGCGUAGCUGGAGUGCAGUAGAGGGUAGUGGAAUUUCCGGUGUAGCGGUGAAAUGCGUAGAUAUCGGAAGGAACACCAGUGGCGAAGGCGGCUACCUGGACUGACACCGACACUGAGGCGCGAAAGCGUGGGGAGCAAACAGGAUUAGAUACCCCCGUAGUCCCUGUCUCUUAUAC
rnacentral:rRNA from 1 species